GAUGAACGCUGGCGGCGUGCCUAAUACAUGCAAGUCGAGCGAACGGACGAGAAGCUUGCUUCUCUGAUGUUAGCGGCGGACGGGUGAGUAACACGUGGAUAACCUACCUAUAAGACCGGGAUAACUUCGGGAAACCGUAGCUAAUACCGGAUAAUAUUUUGAACCGCAUGGUUCAAAAGUGAAAGACGGUCUUGCUGUCACUUAUAGAUGGAUCCGCGCUGCAUUAGCUAGUUGGUAAGGUAACGGCUUACCAAGGCAACGAUGCAUAGCCGACCUGAGAGGGUGAUCGGCCACACUGGAACUGAGACACGGUCCAGACUCCUACGGGAGGCAGCAGUAGGGAAUCUUCCGCAAUGGGCGAAAGCCUGACGGAGCAACGCCGCGUGAGUGAUGAAGGUCUUCGGAUCGUAAAACUCUGUUAUUAGGGAAGAACAUAUGUGUAAGUAACUGUGCACAUCUUGACGGUACCUAAUCAGAAAGCCACGGCUAACUACGCG
rnacentral:rRNA from 1 species